AACAAUUUAAACAUUUUUCAUACUAGAUUUUUUCACCUUUUUAGGUUUCCGUUUUUUUUUCUUUAGUAUAAAAGAAUAUAAUGGACCACAUUAAUGCACAUUAUCGUCCUGGGCUGAAUGUCGGAGAGGGCAGAGGUCAUAUAAAGAUUUAUUCGACGUAAUAGGAUGAAAACAGCAGGUAGACCACAGAGGCAGAGGAUCAGAGAAAGAUUCAGGUGCGUGUGUGUGUGUGUGCGUGCGCGCGCAUGUGUCAGAUUAACGCUAAAGUGGAUCAGUAAGCGUUAAACCAUCUGUGCAGCUUCUCCAUCUGCAGCCCCAGUCAGCAGUACAAACCACUUAGCGAGGCGAAACCCAUCUACACCCGAGCAAAAUCCAGUGCAUAAACACAGCUCAGCGUCCUUCCACAGAAAUCACCUGCCCUGCUUGGCCCAGAUUAAACACACACUUAAAACACAGCUGGACUGUGGAGCAAAUUUAUUUAACUGUUGCAUUUCAGCACAAAAACCUGCUUCAUACUCACUAACCAGUCCAUUUUAACCGGUCUCUAUCUAGCACUGCGCAACUGUGCUCUCUUUUCAGCAUAAAACAUGCCUACUUUCAGUUUAUUCACAAACACUUUUUGAUUCACAAAC